GCAUGCUGCAAAGUAACUUUUUAUAAGAUCUCAGAAAGGAGUGGAAGUAGCUUUAGGAAGGGAAGCUGACUCAAAAGUGAGAGCUAUCUGUGUAGUAUGCUGUAUCUCUAUCUAAGAAAAUUAUUCACAUGUUAAAGUUUCCUCACAUGGGAAAAAGAAAGGCACCUCUUUCAUUUAUUCAUCUAUUCAGCUACUUGUUCAUUCGUACUAUCAUUCUCUCCUUCACUAGUGGACAUGUGCUGGCCACCUGCCAGAGGACAGACUCUGUGCCUGGUACCCAUGACCCCGGGGGGGGGCAAGAAAAGCAGCCCCUUGCCUUUAGGGAGCUCACAUCCCAGGGGAACAGUUGGAUGAAAGGCUAGUAAACAAGUGGGCACAUAAAAAUAUCACAAGGAUUGGAAGAUGUUACCAAGGGAAAGAUGAAGGGGUUGAAACAGAGGAGAGGAUCAGAAUUGGAAGACUGGUCAGGGAAGGCCUUUCUGAGAGUUAAGCCCUGGGGGGAAAAGGAGAAGAGGUUGGCGAUGGGAAACAAGAGGAAAGAGUGUAGAUCAAGUUACCAGCACAGGUCAUGGCCAGCAUCGGGGGUAGGACCACCGGCCACUGCGGGAGAAGCAUGGGGUGAAAAGUCCCUAAGUCCAAGUGUGAGAUCCAGGCUGUCUCUGGAACCUCCAGGGCCUUGUGGGCUCACAUAUGGGGUUUGGCUUUUAUUUGAAUUGCAAACAAAAGCUUUAAGCAUAUUUUAUGCAAGGACCCAACAAGGGCUUCUGUACCUCCUAAGAGACUCCCUUGUUGCAUUGCUGAGGAUGGCUUCCAGCAGAGCAGGAAUGGAAGCAGAGAGUCAGGUUAGGGGGCUGCUCUAGGUCUCCAGGAGAGAAGGGGGUCGUACAGACAUGGUGGUGAUAGAAGUGGGAAGAAGGACAUGAAACGGAUACACAUUUUAGACGCAGUAUUGAGAAAACUUGCUUCUGGAUGAAGCUUGGCAGCUUGAGCUGAGGAUGGAAAAUGAAGACGAAUUCCAAGGCCGACUGGGAGCUGCAGCUGCUGCUGCCAGCCUCAGGAGAGGGCAACAAACCGCCUUAUCGGUAGCCGGAGAAAAGAUCCAAGUUCAAGAUUCGAAGUGCGAUUGAUUGCUAAUGAAUGCAUAUCAUUUUUGCACCACUGUAAAGUCAAGAAGUCAUUAGGUCGAACCACCGUAAGUUGGGGACUGUCUAUACAGCAGAGACAGCUUGCCCCAGAAAGCUGACUUCUCAGAAACCACGUGUGCACGAGAAAGGACUCGACACAACUCAGAGGCCCCAACAGCAGGUUUUCUCACCCUUGUUAUUCUCAGAAGCAGCAGUAACAAGUUAGGCAGCCUCGCCCCUCUCAGCUCGCUGUUCAUCGCUCUGCAAGAAACACACAGAACCUGGACGUCGUGGCAUCGCUCCCUCCUCCUGGGCAACAUGCACCAGAGGACAUUGGGCACCAAAUGCUCCAUGGUGCGGGCUUUCCAUGACUCCCCUGCUGCAUGAGGGGCUGGAGGGGAGAUGCUGGACAAUGGACUUCCCCAGAGGAGGCAGCCUCUGGUCUCCCCACCACCGGACCUUGCUCAAGCAAACAACGCUAAUGAGAAAUUAUGUUUUCCAAAAAUAUAAUAAGAGUGCCGGAUUCACACUCUCAAAAGAGCAUGUUAUUUCUCACAUGACCCAUCUAAAGACCCCUUCGAGAUCAUGUCCAACUGAAACCAGCAUAACCAGAGCUCACAGGUUAAACUUGAACACCUCAGCGUAGAGAAUGAAUCUUUUCAAAGGAAUUAUUUUUGGUUGACCUGCAGUGGAUUUACAAUGCUGCGUUAGUGGUGGGUGUACCCCAAAGUGAUUCAUUUAUGCCUAAAUAAAUACAUAUAUAUAUAUUCUUUUUCAGAUGCUUUUCCAUUAUAGGUUAUUACAAGACACUGAAUACAGGUUCCUGUUCUGUAAGUUGGUCCUAGUCAUUUUCUUCCUUAAUGUGUUUCACUAAUUGACCAAAGGGACAUGCAGUGGCUUUUAGAUGCCAAGAGCAUGAUGCUGAGCCUACACCACAGCCACAGGAACUUUCGAGACUGAAGUUCUAGGAGGACAUGUCAUCAAAUUUACACAUUCUUUCACGCGCUUGGCCCUUGUUUUAUUUAAGUCCAUUUCACGGGACCCAAGCCACAGCUCAUCUGACACAUUUCCUUUGUGUCUCUGUAUGCAAACUUGCAACCUCUGCCUGGAGUCUCUGUUCCAUGACAUUUUGAGAUCUGCUGUGAGCUUUUCCAAAGAUCUUUUUUUUGGUAAUUGUCCCUUCUGUACGUGGACUGAUUUUAAGCUGGAUUCAGAAAUCUUCGCUUGAAACUGUGUACUUUGUAAACAUUUAUACCGUAGCCUCCCGAUGUAUUUAUCGAUGUUAUGAUGCUGUUCCAGGGGACUUGUCAAACCACGGUGUGAUUCAGGGGUGGACUUUUAGGGAUUUUGUAUGUCAAAAGGAAGGAAAGCACAGACUGCUAUGUAACAUUAGUUCCAUGCGAUAAGAGCUACCAAGAAAGAAACCACUGCUUUUAUAUUAAGUUGAUGAUGAGGAGUUGGAGUGUUGUCUGUGUGGCAGGGAACAGCACCCAAAGAUAACAUGUUUGUGCAAGAGGGCAGGACGCCAGCUGAGUGCACGGGGAGGAAAGCAUCAGCUAUGGCUCACGUAGAGUCAUGGGUGCAACACCUUUUGUUUUAUAUUUUCUGUCUUGUCGCAAACGUCCUACCACCUUAGUGUGGCUGUCAUGGACACUGUAAUUAGUUCAGCAAGCCCUCAGUCCAUGGUUUGGGGUGCACACGUGAGGUUAUAAGUAAGGCAUACAAGAGACCAUGCAGAGAGUCUACUUGUUGCUGUAUCCAUUGUCAGCAUCACGUUUUCUCAUAGCCUUUGGAAGCUAAUUCAUCUCCUGUGCCAUGUUUUACAUGGUAUACUGUGCAUUCAGCGAGGCAAUUGGAAGAGCCCGGAAAGGGAAGUUAUCCAUUGCCAGGAACCAGUGUUGUAAGAGAAGGGGGUGGAGCGUGAGAAAGAGAGAGAGAGAGAGGGCAGAAGCCUGCAGCCUUCAAAGGGACCAGUGCUCACCAGGGCUUGUCACGGGCAACGUUACUGCAGUAAAGCCCUCGCACCUCGGUCCAGACCUUACAGAACAAGAACAAUGUGGAACCCACCAGAAGAUUCGGCCAGCGUGGAAUAU